GAUGAAGAACGCAGCGAAAUGCGAUAAGUAAUGUGAAUUGCAGAAUUCAGUGAAUCAUCGAAUCUUUGAACGCACAUUGCGCCCGCCAGUAUUCUGGCGGGCAUGCCUGUUCGAGCGUCAUUUCAACCAUCAAGCCCUGCUUGCGUUGGGGUCCUGCGGCUGCCCGCAGGCCCUGAAAACCAGUGGCGGGCUCGCUAGUCACACCGAGCGCAGUAAUACAUCUCGCUUUGGGCGUGCGGCGAGUUCUUGCCGUUAAACACCCCCUUUUUACCAAGGUUGACCUCGGAUCAGGUAGGAAUACCCGCUGAACUUAAGCAUAUCAAUAAGCGGAGGA
rnacentral:misc_RNA from 1 species